GAGGUUUAUAGUUUUUAUUAAGAGCUGCUAACUCUUAUAAUAGCGGUUAAAUUCCGUUAAUUCCUCU
rnacentral:tRNA from 1 species